rnacentral:rRNA from 1 species
UAAGCGGAGGAAAAGAAACUAACNAAGGAUUCCCCUAGUAACUGCGAGUGAAGCGGGAAAAGCUCAAAUUUGGAAUCUGGUGGUCUUUGGCCAUCCGAGUUGUAAUUUAGAGAAGCGUCUUNCGCGCUGGACCGUGCACAAGUCUCCUGGAAUGGAGCGUCAUAGAGGGUGAGAAUCCCGUCUUUGGCAUGGAAUCCCAGGGCUUCUGUGAUGCGCUCUCGACGAGUCGAGUUGUUUGGGAAUGCAGCUCAAAAUGGGUGGUGAACUCCAUCUAAAGCUAAAUAUUGGCGAGAGACCGAUAGCGAACAAGUACCGUGAGGGAAAGAUGAAAAGCACUUUGGAAAGAGAGUGAAACAGUACGUGAAAUUGUUGAAAGGGAAACGCUUGAAGUCAGUCGCGUCGACCGAGACUCAGCCUUGCCUCGGCUUGGUGUACUUCUCGGCUUGACGGGUCAGCAUCGAUUUCAAUCCUCGGAUAAUGGCAAGGGAAAGGUAGCACCUUUUUAGGUGUGUUAUAGUCCUCUGUCGCAUGCGAGGGUCGGGAUCGAGGAACUCAGCACGCACCUCAGGGUGUCGGGGCCUUGGCCCACGUUUACGUGCUUAGGAUGCUGGCGUAAUGGCUUUAAACGACC